rnacentral:pre_miRNA from 1 species
AAUAAGUGUAGCCAUGGUUUUCAGCGUUCAACUUUGAUCAUUCGUCUUAUUUAAAAAAAAUUUAAAAAAUUAAAAACAUAGGUCACGAGUAAAGUACUAUUCAUGUUUUAUCAUCUUAUAACAACAAAAUUGCUAAUUACAAAAAAAUUUUAAAUAAGACGGACGAUCAAAGUUGGAUGCGGAAACUCAUGGCUGCACUUAUU